rnacentral:rRNA from 1 species
UACGAAGGGGGCUAGCGUUGUUCGGAAUUACUGGGCGUAAAGCGUGCGCAGGCGGCUUCUCAAGUCAGGGGUGAAAGCCCAGAGCUCAACUCUGGAAUUGCCUUUGAGACUGAGUGACUUGAGUACGAGAGAGGUGAGUGGAAUUCCCAGUGUAGAGGUGAAAUUCGUAGAUAUUGGGAAGAACACCGGUGGCGAAGGCGGCUCACUGGCUCGUAACUGACGCUCAUGCACGACAGCGUGGGGAUCAAACAGG